AUUGAACGCUGGCGGCAGGCCUAACACAUGCAAGUCGAGCGAGCGGCGGACGGGUGAGUAAUGUCUGGGAAACUGCCUGAUGGAGGGGGAUAACUACUGGAAACGGUAGCUAAUACCGCAUACCAUCAGAUGUGCCCAGAUGGGAUGAGCUAGUAGGUGGGGUAACGGCUCACCUAGGCGACGAUCCCUAGCUGGUCUGAGAGGAUGACCAGCCACACGGGAACUGAGACAGGGUCCAGACUCCUACGGGAGGCAGCAGUGGGGAAUUUUGGACAAUGGGGGCAAGCCGGAUGCAGCCCUGUCGGGGUUUGGAAGAAGGCCUUCGGGUUGUAAAGCACGUUCAGCGGGGAGGCGUUACCCGCAGAAGAAGCACCGGCUAACUCCGUGCCAGCAGCCGCGGUAAUAC
rnacentral:rRNA from 1 species